UACGUAGGGUGCGAGCGUUGUCCGGAAUUACUGGGCGUAAAGAGCUCGUAGGUGGUUUGUCGCGUUGUUCGUGAAAACUCACAGCUCAACUGUGGGCGUGCGGGCGAUACGGGCAGACUGGAGUUCGGCAGGGGAGACUGGAAUUCCUGGUGUAGCGGUGAAAUGCGCAGAUAUCAGGAGGAACACCGGUGGCGAAGGCGGGUCUCUGGGCCGAUACUGACGCUGAGGAGCGAAAGCGUGGGGAGCAAACAGG
rnacentral:rRNA from 1 species